AUCCGUGUGUCUGCUCUUCAGCAUCCCCUAGGGAGAGUCCACGUUAUUUCUAAGAAGACAGGAGAGAAGGAGGGAGAAAAAAACGUGCAGAUCAAAAGGCCUCAGAAAAAAACAAAGUGGGAUGAAAUGCUGGGCUUUAUUCUGUACAACCUAAGCAUUUUCUAUCUUUGAUGAGUCAAGGUACUGGCAGUUCUGUCCACCAUUACUUUUGCAUCAUCAAUGCAAAUAUCAACACAACAAAAAGGAAAAUAAUGUCUUAGUAUUAUUAUGAAAAUAAUUUUGACCCUGUGGACCCUCUGAAAGUGUUUCUGCAGACAGAGUUACUGCAAGUUUCCUGGGGACCCUUGGUUGGGCUCUGUGUGCCACAUUUUGAGGACUGCUGCCCUAGAGGGAGAACCCCACUAUGAAGCCGGUCAGGUGGGGAGACAGCACUUCCAUUCUCUUUAAAUGAUAGAAAUGUCUAAUUUCUGAGACUCUCUGUCUUGUGGAGCACUGUCGUCUUCAUGGACACAGGCAGGAUGGCAACCAUGUGAUGCUGCUUUCCUUCACCUUCCACCUUGAGUGGAAGCUCCAUGAAGUCCUCACCAGAUGCUGAUGCUGGCGCCGUUCUUGUUUUAUAGCCUGCAGAGCCAUGAGCCAAAGAAAUCUAUUUUAUUUAUAAAUUACCCAGCCUCAGGUAUUUCCUUUACAGCAACACAAAUGGACUAAGACAUGGUCAUGACAAAGUCUCCCAUAGAAAACUGAUCUGGCCUUCUCCAAAACUGAGGGCAGCUGGGAGGCAUAAACAGAAAAGGACAUUGGACAACACUGGGUUUAGCCUGAGA
ensembl:lncRNA novel transcript